UCCCGUUUCGUUUUACAGUAAAGCAGAGCACUCUGGUGGUCAAAUAUUGAUGUAGAGAUGAUGAAGUUACUGAAUGUGUUUGUAAGUUGAACAAAAUUUAAGGGCUAUAUUGUGCAGUAUAAGUUCGACGAAAUGACAAGUUUAUGAUUAUAGACACUUAUUACUUGAAUUAUACUCAACGUUUCUUUUACUGGAAGAGGAGGAGGAGGAUAGAUAAAGUAUAAACCCAACCACAGAUGUGGACUGGAUCAUUUGGUGACCCACCACAUAGUAAAACGACUGGAUGAUCAGAGUAAGAACGUGGAAACAAUAUUUUACCUGUUUUGUUUCAUUUCUCCACUGUUGGACACAAGAAGGUACCAGAAAGUCAGGGAGGAUGUUGGGCACACCACCUCCAGUCUGUCCGGUUCGUUUGUGUGGUGUCACUGGCUAUGAUGGACGCAUUAAUGAUGUUGUCUAUUGCCUAU